rnacentral:rRNA from 2 species
UUAAUUGAAGAGUUUGAUCAUGGCUCAGAUUGAACGCUGGCGGCAGGCUUAACACAUGCAAGUCGAGCGGUAGCACAGGGGAGCUUGCUCCCUGGGUGACGAGCGGCGGACGGGUGAGUAAUGUCUGGGAAACUGCCUGAUGGAGGGGGAUAACUACUGGAAACGGUAGCUAAUACCGCAUAACGUCGCAAGACCAAAGAGGGGGACCUUCGGGCCUCUUGCCAUCAGAUGUGCCCAGAUGGGAUUAGCUAGUAGGUGGGGUAAUGGCUCACCUAGGCGACGAUCCCUAGCUGGUCUGAGAGGAUGACCAGCCACACUGGAACUGAGACACGGUCCAGACUCCUACGGGAGGCAGCAGUGGGGAAUAUUGCACAAUGGGCGCAAGCCUGAUGCAGCCAUGCCGCGUGUGUGAAGAAGGCCUUCGGGUUGUAAAGCACUUUCAGCGAGGAGGAAGGUGGUGAGCUUAAUACGUUCAUCAAUUGACGUUACUCGCAGAAGAAGCACCGGCUAACUCCGUGCCAGCAGCCGCGGUAAUACGGAGGGUGCAAGCGUUAAUCGGAAUUACUGGGCGUAAAGCGCACGCAGGCGGUUUGUUAAGUCAGAUGUGAAAUCCCCGGGCUCAACCUGGGAACUGCAUUUGAAACUGGCAAGCUAGAGUCUCGUAGAGGGGGGUAGAAUUCCAGGUGUAGCGGUGAAAUGCGUAGAGAUCUGGAGGAAUACCGGUGGCGAAGGCGGCCCCCUGGACGAAGACUGACGCUCAGGUGCGAAAGCGUGGGGAGCAAACAGGAUUAGAUACCCUGGUAGUCCACGCUGUAAACGAUGUCGAUUUGGAGGUUGUGCCCUUGAGGCGUGGCUUCCGGAGCUAACGCGUUAAAUCGACCGCCUGGGGAGUACGGCCGCAAGGUUAAAACUCAAAUGAAUUGACGGGGGCCCGCACAAGCGGUGGAGCAUGUGGUUUAAUUCGAUGCAACGCGAAGAACCUUACCUACUCUUGACAUCCAGAGAACUUUCCAGAGAUGGAUUGGUGCCUUCGGGAACUCUGAGACAGGUGCUGCAUGGCUGUCGUCAGCUCGUGUUGUGAAAUGUUGGGUUAAGUCCCGCAACGAGCGCAACCCUUAUCCUUUGUUGCCAGCGGUUCGGCCGGGAACUCAAAGGAGACUGCCAGUGAUAAACUGGAGGAAGGUGGGGAUGACGUCAAGUCAUCAUGGCCCUUACGAGUAGGGCUACACACGUGCUACAAUGGCAUAUACAAAGAGAAGCGACCUCGCGAGAGCAAGCGGACCUCAUAAAGUAUGUCGUAGUCCGGAUUGGAGUCUGCAACUCGACUCCAUGAAGUCGGAAUCGCUAGUAAUCGUAGAUCAGAAUGCUACGGUGAAUACGUUCCCGGGCCUUGUACACACCGCCCGUCACACCAUGGGAGUGGGUUGCAAAAGAAGUAGGUAGCUUAACCUUCGGGAGGGCGCUUACCACUUUGUGAUUCAUGACUGGGGUGAAGUCGUAACAAGGUAACCGUAGGGGAACCUGCGGUUGGAUCACCUCCUUACCUAAAGA